CCUGGACAGACUGCUGCCACGCCGGCUGGCUAGGUUGCUCUAUACAAUGUGAUCCUGCAGCCAUAUCUUCACUGUCUGAUGCCAUGUCUCUCCUGCCAUAGUAGACUCUAUUUCCUGGAACUAUUCUAGAGGAAGUUAAAUCUCAGUGCCAAAAACGUUGGCAAGGGUGACAGUGCUGGAUUUCACAUCGAGAACAUCUCAGAGAAGGAGAGAGGGGAUGGAUGGCCUGGCAGCAAACAAGAGCUUUGAGUUCAUAAACCAGAUUGCCUAGAGAGUGGCUUGUUUUCUGCCUCCUUGAAUCAUGGGUUCGGAUGCUCACAAUUGAUUCUUUUUGGUGUGGUUUCAUUAACAUAAGCCCUCAUCCAGUGGCUGAUGGAAGCAGAGACAGACAUCCACAGACAUACACUG